rnacentral:lncRNA from 1 species
UUGCAAGCUCUACCUAUGCGUAAAUAAAAUAGCUUAUAGUUAACCAGCACUCCCAAAGAACAACUAAGAAAACUAUAUUAAAUGAGCUCGGGACCUUGCUGGCACUGAGAAUGGCUUCGCUUCACUUUGGGGGUGCUCUGGUCCUCACUUUGGGAGAGCUCUGGUCCUCACUUUGAGCAUUGCUUCCUGGUUCCAGAGGGGAAGAUGGUGCACUGCCGG